rnacentral:rRNA from 1 species
GACGAACGCUGGCGGCGUGCCUAAUACAUGCAAGUAGAACGCUGAAGGAGGAGCUUGCUUCUCUGGAUGAGUUGCGAACGGGUGAGUAACGCGUAGGUAACCUGCCUGGUAGCGGGGGAUAACUAUUGGAAACGAUAGCUAAUACCGCAUAAUAGUAGAUGUUGCAUGACAUUUGCUUAAAAGGUGCAAUUGCAUCACUACCAGAUGGACCUGCGUUGUAUUAGCUAGUUGGUGGGGUAACGGCUCACCAAGGCGACGAUACAUAGCCGACCUGGGAGGGGGAUCGGCCACCCUGGGACUGAGACACGGCCCAGACUCCUACGGGAGGCAGCAGUAGGGAAUCUUCGGCAAUGGACGGAAGUCUGACCGAGCAACGCCGCGUGAGUGAAGAAGGUUUUCGGAUCGUAAAGCUCUGUUGUAAGAGAAGAACGAGUGUGAGAGUGGAAAGUUCACACUGUGACGGUAUCUUACCAGAAAGGGACGGCUAACUACGUG